CCUACGGGUGGCAGCAGUGAGGAAUAUUGGUCAAUGGGCGAGAGCCUGAACCAGCCAAGUAGCGUGAAGGAUGACUGCCCUACGGGUUGUAAACUUCUUUUAUAGGGGAAUAAAGUACGGUACGUGUGCCUUUUUGUAUGUACUAUAUGAAUAAGGAUCGGCUAACUCCGUGCCAGCAGCCGCGGUAAUACGGAGGAUCCGAGCGUUAUCCGGAUUUAUUGGGUUUAAAGGGAGCGUAGACGGAUGGUGAAGUCAGUUGUGAAAGUUUGCGGCUCAACCGUAAAAUUGCAAUUGAUACUGGGUGUCUUGAGUGCAGGUGAGGUAGGCGGAAUUCGUGGUGUAGCGGUGAAAUGCUUAGAUAUCACGAAGAACUCCGAUUGCGAAGGCAGCUUACUGGACUGUAACUGACAUUGAUGCUCGAAAGUGUGGGUAUCAAACAGGAUUAGAUACCCUUGUAGUC
rnacentral:rRNA from 1 species